rnacentral:rRNA from 1 species
GACUACCGGGGUAUCUAAUCCUGUUUGCUCCCCACGCCGUCGUGCCUCAGCGUCAGUGUGGCCCCAGACUGCUGCCUUCGCCAUCGGUGUUCUUCCCGAUCUCUACGCAUUUCACCGCUACACCGGGAGUUCCACAGUCCUCUAGCCCACUCUAGUUUAACCGUCUCAACCGCCAUUCCCAGGUUAAGCCCGGGGCUUUCACGGCUGACUGAUUACACCGCCUACGCACGCUUUACGCCCAGUCAUUCCGAUUAACGCUCGCACCCCCCGUAUUACCGCGGCUGCUGGCACGGAGUUAGCCGGUGCUUAUUCUGCGGGUAACGUCACCCCGAGGCGCUAUUUGCACCCCGGCUUUCCUCCCCGCUUAAAGGGCUUUACAACCCGCAGGCCUUCUUCACCCACGCGGCAUUGCUGGAUCAGGCUUGCGCCCAUUGUCCAAUAUUCCCCACUGCAGCCCCCCGUAGG